UCUUCUUUAAACCCUUGGACACACCUCCACCUCCAUGCAUCCCUUGGAUGCCCACUUUCAAUCCUCAUCAUUCAUUUCACAACUCUCCAUUACUAUAAAUACCACCAUCCCUUAUCUCUUUUUGCAUCAAACUUCUUACCCUAUUUUAUCACUAUCAUCGUAGCCUCCACAUCCCUCACUUCAUUGUCAUCACCAUUCACUUAUUUUCCAACCUUCCUUCUUUUACUUCCCGUUCUAUCUUUUUUUUUCUUUGUUUGGGGACAUACAAAUCCUCUAAGUUUAGUAUUAGUUUUGAUCUAGUGAGCUACAUAAAAUAUCAUGGCCCCUAAGAAAGCCUCUGCUUUAAAUAAAAGAAAGGGAAAGGAACCAAUGGCAGCUUUAUAUGAUUCCACAAGGUUCUUCUUCAGCUUUUAUGAAAAUCUCUUUUAUAUUGCUAUGUGUGGCAAGAAGAUUAUUUCUAAAGGACCUUUGCAUCUAAGAAGGAGGGAGUACCCUAAAAUCAUGGAUCAAAUUGGGAUGAGAAAGUGGCAAGUUCUAUGUGACCCUAUUCUAAGGGUGGGGCAAAUUUUGAUCCAAGAAUUCUAUGCUAAUGCAUCCCUCACCAAUGCACAAACACAUGAUGAAAGACCUCUAAACUACAAAAGCCUUGUGAAAGGCAAGGAAAUUGAUUUUAGCCCUGAGAGCAUCUGAAGGAUCCUUAGGUUGAGAAUAUCAACUUUAUCAUCAUCAGAAGUGACAUACACAGAGAGAAAAAAGCAUGAUCCAAGACUUUAUGAAGUGAUCCGAGAUCUUACCUUGCCGGGUGCACAAUGGAUCAUGGGAGCUUCGGGCAAGGCACUCCAUUGAGAAGGAGUGAGCUCAAGCCAAUUACAAGGGGUUGGAUGGAGUUUGUAUAUCGUUCAAUCUCACCCAUAAGUAACCGAUCUAAACUUACUGUUGCUAGAGCAAUCAUGAUUCACUGCAUCAUGAUCAGUCAAGAGGAAACCCAAUCACUAAGAAGACAAUGAAAAAGGUAAGAGCACAACCUCCUCAAGAGGCCCAAGAAGAAGAAGCCGAGGGAGUUCAAGAGGAAGAGCACGAGGAUUAAGAAGCUCACAAUCAGGGUGAACCACAGUCUUAGGUCCCUCCACAACAAGGAGUAGAGUGGCAAUAAAUGUAUUCCACAAUACAAGAACUUUUUGCACAACAAGCACAAUUCAUGAGAGAGUUCCAAGAGCAAAAAAUCUUGCAAGAAGUCCAUCACAAAGAAUUUCAAGAUUUCAGGGCCUUGUAGAGGGCAAAUCACAAAGAGUUCCAAGAAUACAAGGCACUCUACGAAGCUCGGUAUGACGCUGAAGAAUCUUGGCGACUUCACAUGCAUGCCAAGAUGAACUAAUAUACUUCGGCUCAAAAUGCAGCAUACCCAAACAUCACUCCAUAUGAAAAAAGUAUCCCACAUCUGUAGGAAGGAGGUUAAGAGGCUAAACAAGGAGUGUGCUGAGUGGAGGGAGAGAGAAAUAAAAGCCCGUGGCCUUUGGAACCCAAAAGGUAAAGCUAGUCAAUCGAAGGCAGGAAUUUGGGAACCAAGGGGAGCACAAGAAGAAGAUGAUGAUGAGGGAGGCAAUAAUGAUGAACAAGGUUAUCAAAUUCCCUUUUUACUUUUAUUACCCAUCUCUUUAUAUUUUUAUAAUUUGUUUGCCUUGCUUUAUGUUGUUGCAUUUGCUUUAAUUGUGUUGCCUUAUCCUUUGUUUUGUCCACCUAACUACUACUUGUACUUUCCUCCCAAGCACUCUAAUCAUAUGAAAGGAGAGUUGCUUAUAUGGAAGAAGGCUAAAUCCUAUUAACAAAGUCCAUUUAUGAAUAGUGGUGGUAUAUAUUUGUGAUUUUUAUGGACUGAGCCACAAAAUAAUGAUAUUGCAUAAAAGGAAAAGAUGAUUCCUUCUGAGCAUGAGUCUUAGAAAAAUAUUAUGAGAUCUAUGACGAAAAGAAAAUAUCCUUGAACUUGACUUGAAAAAGAAAGAAAAGAAAGAGAGAAAAGAAAUAGCAACCAACAGAACAAAGAAAGAAAAUCAAGAAAAUCAAAGGUUGCAAAACUCUGAGGAUCAAUGGUUAAAGAGCCCUACUAUGUGUCUGUGGUGUGAUUGUCCAAGGACAGGGCUCGAGUGAUUAGACCAAGGGGUGCUUUAUCAUCCGAUAACUUGAACCAACUAGUUCGCGAUUAUCGAUUAAAAACCCACCAUCAAGAGUUCCCUUGAGACAGAGCAUUUAGAAACCCAAAGCGAUUCUCGACAUCGAUGGCGGGAAAUUUAAAAUCUUUGACUAUAUGCUUGUGGUGUGAACGUAUCAAGGAGUGGCUCGGGUAAUUAAAUUCGAGGAAUGCCUCAUCACCCGGUCGGGUUACCGAUCGAAUUCCCACAAUCAAGAGUUUCCUUUAAAAUGGAGCAUUUAGAGUUGUCAACCUGAAAAGCUCUCUGAUGUGAAACAAGGAUUCAAGGAUCAAUCUAAAGCUUAGAAAAGGAUCUCAUAAUACUAUCCGAGUCUUAACUCUCAGGGAUCAUCUAUUCCUAGGAGUGCAAAACUCAUUGAAGAUAAAGAAAAUCCAAGAUGAUCACAGAGGUUGUUAAACCCCACUUCCUAGAAGGACAUGAACUUCAAAAAGAAUUUAACCUCACUUCAUUUAAUACAAUUCUGUUCCUUUCUAUUUUCUUUUGCUUGAGGACAAGCAAAGUAUUAAGUUUGGUGUCUGAAAUAAGGUUGUCUAGUAGCUUAAAGCACGAGAAUGUUAGACCAGGAUGACUUCACCAACAGGCUUAAGUAGAACUUGUCUACUACCCGAAUUUCUACCCCUGAAUUCACUUUCAGGCUUUCUACUUGAUAAUGAUAAACGUUGUCUUUUUAUUUAAAGAUCAUACAGGGCAAGCAAGAUAUUUAUUUUGGGCUCCAAUGUGAUCAAUAUUAAGCAAGUUAGCUAAUUGAGUACGAGCAGAGGCAGAGGUAUUAUGGUGAAGAACACAACAGACUUGUUGAGAUUCACCUUUUGACCAUUGCCGCUUUCAUAAAUAUUCAAUAAACUCAAGACAUUUUCACAAACCUCAAAAUUAGCUUUGCAGAAUAGGAUCGAGUCAUCAGCAAAGAGAAUGUAGUUAACCUUAGAACAACACCUAUGAAUCUGGAUACCUUAGAUCGGGCUACUUUGUUCUACCUUGUGUAGCAAGAAGAAGACCUCUACACAAAAUAAAAAGAGAUAUGAAAAUAGAGGAUUUCUUUGACAAAUUUUUUUAUUUGGUCUAAAAAAAAUCAAAGAGUUAACCUUCCAUAAUGACAGAAUAAAACACAGUCGUUAUCAAUUAAUGUAUCUAACCAAUCUAACGCGAGGUGAAUCCAAAUUUCUCCAAUAUGAGAAACUCAUUCUAUUUAACAAAUAAAGUCGCAUGUAUUAAUUUAAUAUGCAAAAACAAAAUGAAUAUAGAGGAUUUCUCUCAGCACUUGACAAACUAUCCCGUUGUUACCAAGCCUUUACAAGGUACAUUUCAAGGACACUACAAAAUGGCAUUUGAAGAGGAAUAAUUCUAUAAAUAUAAAGUGGAAUUGAUGCAGAACAUUAUCAUAAUUUAUACACCACAAUAAAUAGCAGUAACUUAUUCUAUAACCAU